rnacentral:misc_RNA from 1 species
GCAAUUGUCUGUACCCAGCCUCGCAAAAUAGCCACAAUAUCAUUAGCCCAACGGGUAGCCGAGGAAAGCACCGGUUGCUAUAAAGAUAUCAGCGUGGUUUCUCAUCCCACGUACUCAUCCCAUCAACAUUUCAACUCAAAUGUAGUUUACAUGACAGAUCAUUGCCUCCUACAACACUGCACCAACAAUACGGGCUUGGCGGAAAUUUCAUGUAUUAUUGUUG